ACCUUUAUUGUCGUGAAGGAAAGGGACUCAUAAUCCGUUGGUCCGGGGUUCGAAUCCCUGAGGGCCCA
rnacentral:tRNA from 1 species